rnacentral:rRNA from 1 species
GUAGGCUGAAACUCGCCUACAUGAAGCUGGAGUUGCUAGUAAUCGCGAAUCAGCAUGUCGCGGUGAAUACGUUCCCGGGGCCUUGUACACACCGCCCGUCACACCAUGAGAGUUGGCAAUACCCAACGUACGUGAUCUAACCCGCAAGGGAGGAAGCGUCCUAAGGUAGGGUCAGCGAUUGGGGUGAAGUCGUAACAAGGUAUC